GUAACCUUUAAAUCCAGUCCCGUGAGGCUGGCAAGGGCGACGGUGAAUAACGCAGAUAUAGUUGGGAUGGUUAUGCCCUUCUUUAUGUGCGCACGAAGCUUCUUGUCAGUGAGACAAGAAGCUUUUUUUGU
rfam:Brevibacillus laterosporus LMG 15441, complete genome.